AGUGCGCUUCGUUCGGUGAGGCUCUUGCGUGAACACAGGCCACUGAUCUGACGACAUCGAGAGAUGCCCAAGGUUAGGACAGGCACCCUCGGCUUAAGGGGGCUGCCCAAGGUGGCUGCACUACGACUACGUCACGCAAUGCCGAAGCUCUGACAUGGAAGCGCGUU
rnacentral:sRNA from 2 species